CUGUCUGUCUAUCUAUCUAUUCCAGUUUCCAAACCAGUCAGAGACAGCGAUGUGAGGACAUCAAGAGGAAAUAAAACAACAAGAAAGCGCUCUCAGUGCUUGACUGAGGAGUUGAAGAGGAAAGGGCAGCUGCACAAUCCUUAAAUUAUGAUGGCAGUCUGUCGGUAGAGAUGCAGUAGAUCUCUCUAUCCUAUCUAUCUGUCUGUCUGUCUGUCUAUCUUUCUGUCUGUCUGUCUGUCUGUUUGUCCAUCCGUCUAUCUAUCUAUCAGAG